rnacentral:rRNA from 1 species
GACGAACGCUGGCGGCGUGCUUAACACAUGCAAGUCGAACGGAAAGGCGCGGCUCUUGUGGGGUGUUCGUGUGGCGAAAGGGUGAGUAACACGCGAGUAACCUCCCCCUGACUUCGGGGUAACACCAGGAAACUCGGUCGCAUAUCGGAUAUGAGAUUCUGCGGCACGGGGGGGUUUGGAGAGAUGCGGCGGUGCGGGAUGAACUCGCGGCUCAUCGGCUUGUUGGUGGGGUAGUGGCUUACCAAGGCUUUGACGGGUAGCCGGCCUGAGAGGGUGACCGGCCACAUUGGGCCUGAGGUACCGCCCAGACUCCUACGGGAGGCAGCAGUGGGGAAUAUUGCACAAUGGGCCGAAGCCUGAUGCAGCAACGUCGCAUGCUGGAUGACGGCCUUCGGUUUGUAAACCGCUUUAGCCUGUAACGAAGCGUGAGUGACGGUAAUGGGUAAAGAAGCACCGGCUAACUACGUG